CUUCUCUGUGUAAUCUGAACCUGACUGCUUGCUGCGCACUUCCAUGGACAAUCUGCUGCGGUUGCAGCCUCAUGCAUUUGAGGAAAGGAGGUCCGGAGGAGGAACUUGUUUCUGCCAACUCACCUCUUCAUUGCCAUCUACCAGUUCCUGCCUUUCAUUAAGCUCUGAUGUUCCUUAUAAAUAAAUAAAAAUGUGUUAACUCAAUUGAUUAUGCCCUAUUUUAUGAGAUUUAUGUGGUGUGCAAACAAAAGUCUUGUAACCUUUAUUGUAAUGAUUUGACCACUAUGACGGUAUGAUGGUUGUGGUAUAUGUUAUCAAUAUUGUAAUUGGUUUUUGACAAAAUAUUGGUUUGGAUUGUGCGGUUGCCUGGUACCAUGGUUGUUACUUGGUAAAAAUAAUAUGGAUGAUUUACGACCAUCUAGUGGGGAGUCUGAAAACUGCUAACGAAACGUCAUUGAAGUGAAAAUAAAAUAAAUCAUUCGUACUGUUGUAAAUUCAAAAUGAUGUAAAUAGGAAAGCUAAACGUUGAAGCACAUAGGGCAAAACACUCCAGUAGCACUAGGCAUGCUAGCCAACAGUG